ensembl:lncRNA
AUAGUUACUUUUCAUUUCUCCUAUUGGAGGGAUGGUGGACACAGCAGGGAAGCAAGGCCAAUUAAGUGGCCACUACCAUUAACAUUAACCUUUCUAAAAGUAUAGGCAUUAUAUCUUAGAACAUAUUUCGUACUAAAUCAGUACCUCAGGGCCAGAAAAGUGUGAGUGAAGUACGAAUUCUUAACUUUUUUUUGUCUCUGUGUAAGGGUGAGGCAAGAGCCUGUUUUGAAGGGCAAAGCCAUCAGCUUGUGGGCCUGUCACCCCUUUGUGUUAAAUGCACAGGAGAUAUUUAAGAAAGCUCCUAAGUUGGCAAUCAUUAGUCUAGUUUACUAAUGGUCAUAUUCUUUUGAAAAACCCGAUGCUGCUUUAUAUUAAUGUCUCUAUCCCUGGAAGUGUUAAAUGCCAUGUUGGAUGGAGCCCUGGGCAGUCUGAUCUAGAGACUAGCAAUCCUGCCCACAGAAGAGAGGGUGGAGCUAGAUGAGUUUUUAUGUCCCUUCCAACUGAAUCCAUUCUUUGAUUUUGUGAUUAACAUUAAUAUUCUAAAUAUUUGGAGCUUUGGGAUAAAUUUUAACGAUUUUAAGAACGUAUCUGAAUAUCUGGUCCCUUCCUCUAUUAAUUCAUCUUCUAUGAUUGUUUUUCAUUUUCUGCUCUUGUCGUGAACAACCUCUUGUGUUGAAAAAGUCAAGGAAGCUUCAAGUGGAAACAUGUUUGCUGAGUGAACAGACAACUUCAGAGAAAGGAUGUAAAGUGGGAAAAAGAAAGAGCAACCCACACUGCUAUAAGAGUGAUCUACAAACCACAUAGCAUAACACCCACUGAGAGUGUCACAGAUCUUUCAGAGAUUGCAAACAAAUUUUGAGAGUUCUACAGUUCAACUGUGAGCUACUGAAGGUGUUGUCAGUGUAACUACAGUGAUGUUUCCAGAUUGCUGACUGCAGGAAAAGCUUCUGUUAAAAACUUGUUAUAGUCAACAACCAAUGAUUCUGAAAGAAGAUACAGCCAUACUAUUUUGAGAUAUACAAGAGAUAGAUGUUUCUGAUUUGAGUAAGCUCACAUCUAUUUUGGCUCCUUGCCUUAGCUGCUACUGGUUAAGCUGCAGUGCUAUCCAGCUGGGACCAGCCAUCUCUGGUCAGGUGUUUCAGGCAUAAUCAUGGUUGAGUAACAGCAAGAACAAUCAAUCCAAUAUUCUACUACUUUCUCCUCCAUGCAGUGUUAAAUAGUCUCCAGGGUAGGUAGGCAACAGGUCAAUGACAUUUUGAGAAGCCCCAGUGUAUUCUCAAAAGUUUAAAAAGAAAGCAUUUGGCCUUAUUUUCUUUCCCACCAAGAAAAUAAGAGCAUUCGUAAUCCUAGCAUAAUGCAACAAACACUUCAGUGUAUAGUGCUAAUUAGAGAGAAUAAAUUCUUUAAUAAAAUUCACUUUGAUAAGUUAAAGUAGGCUAAACUGAGUAUGUGGUUAGGCAUGUAAAUGUGAAGUGCUUUGUUGGACUUGAUAUGUGGUGAAUGUUUUCCUCUGAAGAUGAGCAGAAGGUGAAAAGGAAAGAUUCUUUGGCACUGUUGGAAAUUUUGCUUUUGUCUUUUCCCAUUUAGUAUUAAAAAAAUCCACCAGAGCAGAAACUCUAGCUAAACUAGGAAAUUAAAACUGAGUAUGCCAUUUAGGCCAAAAAGCUACUAGUGACUUAGUGACUUUUUUCUGAUAUUAUUUUUUCUUCAAUGAGAUUACAUGAAAAUAAAUGCAAGAUACUGAUCAGCAGAUCAAAGUCAUUUUCAGUAUGUCUAAACAUAGGCUUAGGCUUACCUUCAGACACAUGAUUUUUGUAGCAGUGUUCAAAGUUACUCAUUUCAGUUGUUCUCAUGGGAUAUGAAUAAUAUUGGAGGAAAUUAUUAAGUUAAUAUAGUUGGGCAAUUUUUUAUAAAAUUUCUACUCCUCCAGAACAGAACUAUCAUUACUAUAAUAUUGUUUGUAAAUUGAAACUUAUGAUCAGAGAUUUAAAAAGACAGUGUAGGUGGUGAUAUAGGAAAUGGAAGAUGUAUAUAAGUAAAUAUCUUAAUAGUUUUCAAAGUCUUGGGUGUAAUAUGACAGUCUAAUUUGGUUAAAACAAAUCAUAAUAAUAAUAGUACAAUUACAAUACAUUAUUCAAGUAAACAGAAGAAAAUAAAAUCAUGGAAGCU